GAAUUUUCUGAAUGUUCGGAUAAAUUUUCAGAAAAUUCAUCCAUAUUGGGGGAUUUUUCUGAAUGUGAAGUGUCCGGUUUGGCUGAUGCCGGUUGGUGGUGGGGUUGGAAAAUACGAGG
rnacentral:ribozyme from 1 species